rnacentral:rRNA from 1 species
UACAGAGGAUGCAAGCGUUAUCCGGAAUGAUUGGGCGUAAAGCGUCUGUAGGUGGCUUUUUAAGUCCGCCGUCAAAUCCCAGGGCUCAACUCUGGACAGGCGGUGGAAACUACCAAGCUGGAGUACGGUAGGGGCAGAGGGAAUUUCCGGUGGAGCGGUGAAAUGCGUAGAGAUCGGGAAGAACACCAGUGGCGAAGGCGGCCGGCUGGGGGUGGCCUGACGCUGAGGCGCGAGAGCGUGGGGAGCGAACCGG